AUACCAAUGGCGAAGGCAGCUUCCUGGUUCUGUACUGACACUGAGGUGCGAAAGCGUGGGUAGCGAACAGGAUUAGAUACCCUGGUAGUCCACGCCGUAAACGAUGACAACUAGCUGUUGGGAGACAAGAUCUCUCAGUGGCGCAGCUAACGCUUUAAGUUGUCCGCCUGGGGAGUACGGCCGCAAGGUUAAAACUCAAAUGAAUUGACGGGGACCCGCACAAGCGGUGGAGCAUGUGGUUUAAUUCGAUGCAACGCGAAAAACCUUACCUACUCUUGACAUACUUGGAAGCUCUUGUAAUGAGAGUGUGCUUUUAGAGCCAAGAUACAGGUGCUGCAUGGCUGUCGUCAGCUCGUGUCGUGAGAUGUUGGGUUAAGUCCCAUAACGAGCGCAACCCUUACCCUUAUUUGCCAGCGGUUCGGCCGGGAACUAUAAGGGGACUGCCGGUGACAAACCGGAGGAAGGUGAGGACGACGUCAAGUCAUCAUGGCCCUUACGAGUAGGGCUACACACGUGCUACAAUGGGGAAUACAGACGGACGCUAAAGCGUGAGCUGGUGCUAAUCCUAAAAAAUUUCUCGUAGUCCGGAUUGCAGUCUGCAACUCGACUGCAUGAAGUCGGAAUCGCUAGUAAUCGCGAAUCAGCAUGUCGCGGUGAAUACGUUCUCGGGUCUUGUACACACCGCCCGUCACACCAUGGAAGUGUGUUGCACCAGAAGUAGGUAGUCUAACCUUCGGGAAGGCGCUUACCACGGUGUGAUCCAUGACUGGGGUGAAGUCGUAACAAGGUAGCCGUAGGGGAACCUGUGGCUG
rnacentral:rRNA from 1 species